UGCCAGCCGCCGCGGUAAUACGGAGGGGGUUAGCGUUGUUCGGAAUUACUGGGCGUAAAGCGCACGUAGGCGGAUUAGAAAGUUGGGGGUGAAAUCCCAGGGCUCAACCCUGGAACUGCCUCCAAAACUACUAGUCUUGAGUUCGAGAGAGGUGAGUGGAAUUCCGAGUGUAGAGGUGAAAUUCGUAGAUAUUCGGAGGAACACCAGUGGCGAAGGCGAGUACCUGGCCAAAGAUUGACGCUCAUGUGCGAAAGCGUGGGGAGCAAACAGGAUUAGAUA
rnacentral:rRNA from 1 species